UAGCUCAGUUGGUAGAGCAUGGUGUUUGCAACGCCAGUCUUGUGGGUUCGAUUCCCAC
rfam:Salmo salar isolate Sally breed double haploid chromosome ssa04, whole genome shotgun sequence.